AGUUCAGGUAACGAAACUGCGAAUAGCUCAUUAAUACGCUCAGAAUCUAUUUGGCGGCGACCAACAGGUCUUAAAUGGAUAGCAGCAGCAACUCUGGUGCUAAUACAUGCGAUUGUUUCUCCAGAUGUGAAUUAUGGAGGAAAAGUUGACCUCAUCAGAGGCACGCCAUUCGACUGAGUGACCUAUCAGCUUGUACUUAGGGUCUUUACCUAGGUAGGCUAUCACGGGUAACGGGCGGUUACCGUCGGACUGCCGGAGAAGGCGCCUGAGAGAUAGCGACUAUAUCCACGGGUAGCAGCAGGCGCGAAACUUUCCCACUCGAGACUUUCGGAGGAGGUAAUGACCAGUUCCAUUGGUGCCUUUUGGUACUGUGGAUAGGGGUACGGUUUUCCACCGUACCGAAACCUAGCAGAGGGCCAGUCUGGUGCCAGCAGCUGCGGUAAUUCCAGCUCUGCGAGUUUGCUCCCAUAUUGUUGCAGUUAAAACGCCCGUAGUCUGAAUUGGCCAGCAAUGGUCGUACGUAUUUUUACGUUCACUGUGAACAAAUCAGGACGCUUAGAGUAUGGCCACAUGAAUGACUCAGCGCAGUAUGAAGUCUUUGUUUUCUUCCGAAAACAAGCUCAAUGAGAGCCAUCGGGGGUAGAUCUAUCUCAUGACGAGUGGUGGAAUACUUUGACUCAUGAGAGAGAAGCUGAGGCGAAGGCGUCUACCUAGAGGGUUUCUGUCGAUCAAGGGCGAGAGUAGGAGUAUCCAACAGGAUUAGAGACCCUGGUAGUUCCUACCUUAAACGAUGCCGACAGGAGUUUGUCAUUUGUUAAUGGCAGAAUCUUUGGAGAAAUCAUAGUUCUUGGGCUCUGGGGGAACUACGACCGCAAGGCUGAAACUUGAAGGAAUUGACGGAAGGGCACACCAGGGGUGGAGCCUGUGGCUUAAUUUGAUUCAACACGGGGAAACUUACCAGGACCAGAUGUUUUUUAUGACUGACAGGCUUUCGGGUCUUUCAGGAUAUUUGGUUUUGGUGGGGCAUG
rnacentral:ncRNA from 2 species